rnacentral:rRNA from 1 species
AGAGUUUGAUCAUGGCUCAGAACGAACGCUGGCGGCGUGAAGACAUGCAAGUCGAGCGCGAUAUUCACGGUAGCAAUACCGUGGAUGUUGAGCGGCGCAAGGGUGCGUAACACGUGGGUAAUUUGCCGUGGAGUUGGGGAUAACUCGCUGAAAGCGAGCUAAUACCGAAUGUGUUUGGGUGGCAUCACUUGGAAACUAAAGCUGGGGACCGCAAGGCUGGCGCUCCAUGAUAAGCCCGCGGCCUAUCAGCUAGUUGGGAGGUAACGGCUCNNCGGCUAAGACGGGUAGCUGGUCUGAGAGGACGACCAGCCACACUGGAACUGAGACACGGUCGACACCUACGGGUGGCAGCAGUCGAGAUUUUUCUCAAUGGGCGCAAGCCUGAAGGAGCGACGCCGCGUGGGGGAUGAAGGGUUUCGAUCCGUAAACCCCUGUCAUUUGUGAACAAUGGUUAUUCGUGAACAACGGGUGACUUGAUAGUAAUGAAAGAGGAAGGGACGGCUAACUCUGUGCCAGCAGCCGCGGUAAUACAGAGGUCCCGAGCGUUGUUCGGAUUCACUGGGCGUAAAGGGUGCGUAGGUGGCUGGAUAAGUUUGAUGUGAAAGCUCAGGGCUUAACCCUGAAAUGGCAUUGAAUACUAUUUGGCUGGAGGUUUGGAGGGGGGACUGGAAUUCUCGGUGUAGCAGUGAAAUGCGUAGAUAUCGAGAGGAACACCAGUGGCGAAGGCGAGUCCCUGGCACCCUGACACUGAGCACGAAAGCUAGGGGAGCAACAGGAUUAGAUACCCNNGUAGUCC